UACAGAGGUCUCAAGCGUUGUUCGGAUUCAUUGGGCGUAAAGGGUGCGUAGGCGGCGCGGUAAGUCGGGUGUGAAAUCUCGGGGCUUAACUCCGAAACUGCAUUCGAUACUGCCGUGCUUGAGGACUGGAGAGGAGACUGGAAUUUACGGUGUAGCGGUGAAAUGCGUAGAUAUCGUAAGGAAGACCAGUGGCGAAGGCGGGUCUCUGGACAAGUUCCUGACGCUGAGGCACGAAGGCCAGGGGGAGCAAACGGG
rnacentral:rRNA from 1 species